UACCUCUGAUUAGCAGUUGAUUUAACUCAGUGGAAGAAAAAGAUAAAUAUCUGGAGAACGGGAAUAGAAGGAUGGAAGAUCACAGGAACUGACAUUUCCUCUGUACUGUACAAGUGUGCCUUUCCCCUUGUGUAAAGGAAGUCUGGACUCGACAGCCUUGCAGGCCUCAAGAACAUAGUGCAGAAUUAAAUCAGACCCUCCAGUGAUCCACAGUAAAAGUUCUGAGAUUGGUCUGAAUUUGAAUACUUGAAUAACAGUGAUAUUCAGAUGAGGGACUCAGCCCUUUCUGUCCUUGGAAAGCAUUCAAAAAUACUUUGUCCAAGAUUUUCAAACCAAAAAGUAAUAAUUUUAUAAUGAUACUUAAUUUUUCUCAAGAUUCAUUGUGAAUGUGCCAUUGCACAAGUCAGCCUUUCUAACGGUCUGUUAAAAAUAUGCUUGAGACUUUCCCUUGAAACGUGAGGGAAACUUUAUAUUUUCAGAAUGUUAUGAUGGGGGACAAAAGCCCCAAGAAAGAUGUUCAUCCCAUCUUUGUUGUUAUGUGAUGGUAAAAUGAGGAACCUGAAGUACUUGCUGCCUGGUCUCCAGAGCAGAGGACUCAGGGAAGUUUCCUCCUUUUGUAGUGAGAUGCUUUCUCAUGUAUCCAAGUACGAAUCUUUGGAGCUUUGUCACGGUGAUGGUGGUUGUAUGGGAACUGCUGAGCCACGGCCUGAACCUCUGAUUGAUCACCUGAGGUGAGCACUGAGUCAGCCACAGGAGCACAGGUGAAGGCAAUUCAGCUGUGCUGCUCCUACACCUAUUUAAGAGCUGGCUGCCAGUAGGGAAGGAUCUCUUCUGAAGAUCUGCUUUGCUGGAGUUUUGUAAGUGAGCCCAGGAUAGGGAGAUACGUAUGUUGAACUGACCCAAAGUUAUUCCUCCUGACCUUAGUUGGGAGCCACUGAAUCACAACACAGAGAGAGCUGCCAAUGGCUACAACAGGGUGCCUGCUGGCCAUUAGGCUGAAAAGAGAAAUGAGUAAUGUGAUGGUGCAGGUACCUGCUUUAAAAGGAAGGAGACUGCAAUGCUCAUCAGACCUUUUAAAGAAGUGUGGUGAAUAGAAAGCACUAAAAAAAGCUUUAAGAAAUGUACAACUGUGGAGUCAAAAGCAUCUGCUGGUGUCUGCAUAGUGAAAAUCCAGUCUGUGAGGAGGUAGUGCUCCGUUUGCAUCUCGCACAGGAUCUCUGGCCUUUCUGAAAGCAUGAACUCAAAGAGUAUAAGCACUGAAGUGACAUCUGACCUGUGAACUCGCGUGUGAAGGCUGCGAGGUCU